CUGCGGAAGGAUCAUUACCGAGUGUAGGGUUCCUAGCGAGCCCAACCUCCCACCCGUGUUUACUGUAACCUUAGUUGCUUCGGCGGGCCCGCCUUUAAGGCCGCCGGGGGGCAUCAGCCCCCGGGCCCGCGCCCGCCGGAGACACCACGAACUCUGUCUGAUCUAGUGAAGUCUGAGUUGAUUGUAUCGCAAUCAGUUAAAACUUUCAACAAUGGAUCUCUUGGUUCCGGCAUCGAUGAAGAACGCAGCGAAAUGCGAUAACUAGUGUGAAUUGCAGAAUUCCGUGAAUCAUCGAGUCUUUGAACGCACAUUGCGCCCCCUGGUAUUCCGGGGGGCAUGCCUGUCCGAGCGUCAUUGCUGCCCAUCAAGCACGGCUUGUGUGUUGGGUCGUCGUCCCCUCUUCGGGGGGGACGGGCCCCAAAGGCAGCGGCGGCACCGCGUCCGAUCCUCGAGCGUAUGGGGCUUUGUCACCCGCUCUGUAGGCCCGGCCGGCGCUUGCCGAACGCAAAACAACCAUUCUUUCCAGGUUGACCUCGGAUCAGGUAGGGAUACCCGCUGAACUUAAGCAUAUCAAUA
rnacentral:rRNA from 1 species